rnacentral:rRNA from 1 species
UGGGGAAUAUUGGACAAUGGGCGCAAGCCUGAUCCAGCCAUGCCGCGUGAGUGAUGAAGGCCCUAGGGUUGUAAAGCUCUUUCACCGGUGAAGAUAAUGACGGUAACCGGAGAAGAAGCCCCGGCUAACUUCGUGCCAGCAGCCGCGGUAAUACGAAGGGGGCUAGCGUUGUUCGGAUUUACUGGGCGUAAAGCGCACGUAGGCGGACUUUUAAGUCAGGGGUGAAAUCCCGGGGCUCAACCCCGGAACUGCCUUUGAUACUGGAAGUCUUGAGUAUGGUAGAGGUGAGUGGAAUUCCGGGUGUAGAGGUGAAAUUCGUAGAUAUUCGGGGGAACACCAGUGGCGAAGGCGGCUCACAGGACCAUUACUGACGCUGAGGUGCGAAAGCGUGGGGAGCAAACAGG